CUGGGGAAGGUUUCAGAAGCCCCUGCAGGAGUUCUGUCCGUGUUUGGUUUCACAAGGGCCAGCUCAGAAUCAAGAAGAACUGAAUCCGAGGGCGGGCGCUGCAAGGGUCCAUCAUGUUGCCCAGGCUGGACUCAUCCCUCCCCUGUUUCAGCAUCUUGAGGAGCAGGGGUUAUGGCCCUGUGCUACCACACCAGCAGUUUGGAUCCAGACUGUCUUCUGGCCUCUCUGUUGGCAGACACUGGCCUCUGCCUCAGCCAGAAUCAGAGGUACUGGACCUGAAGGGCUGUCAGUCUCCAGGCAUUCCUCUUGGGCAGACAUCAAAUGAAGUCCUGGGCUUUCAACACGGGCCUGAGUAGACAUCAAUCUUCAUCGAGGCUUGAAGUCCUGGCAAAGACGAUCCCUCCAGAGAGAAAGGUCAGGCAGGCUCCAGCCCAACUAUUUUAAAACUUGUCCCCUCUCUUUAAUGUUGAGUUAGAUAAGAAAUUCUGAGCUGUCUUUAGUUAUAGGGGUGGCAGGGAGGGGAGAUGGGUUAAUCAGCUAACAAGCUACAGAUCAUCAACAAAACAGGGGUCUUAAAACCUUAAGUCUAAACCUAUGGCAUCGCAACAUCCUGUUUACCACCCCAACCAGUUGGAAGCUACAGUCCCGUCCUAAACCUGUCCUCUGCUUAUCCUGCUCCUCUCCCCUAGAGUCAGUGCAGGGUCAGUGUGAACAAGUCAGGCCUUCCUUCCCCAGCUUUCAUUACAAAAAAGAAAAGAAAUGCCCUUAGCUCUGGUUUGGUGAACAUUUUCCAGCUGCUAGCCAGCCCUGCUGCUGGUAGUUGUGGAAAAUUGUCCUAGUCCUGGUCCUUUUCCUACUGGCUCAUAAACACAAAACAGCUCCACUACUACAGAAAUGUAACACUGUAACAGGAGUGUAACACUGUAACAGGAAUGUAACCCUGUAAUAGGAAUGUAACCCUGCAACAGGACUGUAACAUUGUAACAGGAGUAUAACACUGUAAAAGAAAUAUAACAGGGUAACAGGGGUGUAACACUAUAACAGGAAUUUACCAUUGCUACAGGAGUAUAACACUGUAACAGGAGUGUAACACUGCAACAGGAAUGUAACACUGUAAGAGAGGUGAAACAUUGCUAUAGGAGUGUAACACCAACAGGAGUGUCACACUGUAAUAGGAGUAUAACACUGUAACAGGAAUGUAACACUGUAACAGGAAUGUAACCCUGUAACAGGAGUGUAACACUACUACAGGAGUGUUAUACUGUAAUAGGAGUAUAACACUGUCACAGGAGUGUAACACUGCAACAGGAAUAUAACAUUGUAACAGGCGUGUAGAACUGUAACAGCAGUGUAACACUGUAACAGGAGUGUGACACAACAGGAGUGUGACACUGUAACAGGAGUGUAACACUGCAACAGGAGUGUAACACUGUAAGAGGAAUGUAACACUGUAACAGGAGUGUAACACUGCAAUGGGAGUGUAACACUGUAACAGGAGUGACACUGUAACAAGAGUGUAACGCUAACAGGAAUAUAACACUGUAAUAGGAGUGUAACACUGUAAUAGGAGUGUAAUACUGCUAAAGGAAUAUAACAGGAGUGUAACACUGUAACAGCUCCACAAACACAAAAUCCCUUCGUUCCUGGCAUUUUGGGUUGACAGACCAGCUGGAGAGCUGAUCUAGGUUGGGUGGAGAGUGCUGCUUUUGCCCAUGGAAAGCUAGAAGAAAGAGCCGACGCUUGCUGCAGAUACACAGGGCUGGAGCCUGACCCUGGCGCAGUAACAGUGGCAGCAGUUUUGGGAGUCAUGAAAUGCCGCCCCCAGGCCUUCAAGCCAGCAGCUUGAGUAGACCCCUUCCUGCCAGGGGCCACACUCAGGCAUUGCUUGCACUGUCAACUUGGCCGACUGUGGAGAGGAAUUAGCACUGGACAUCUUUGGCAGGUCUGUUGACAUGACACUUGUCGGCACUACCCCUGUGGGACAGACAUCUUGGCCAGUGUCACUCUGGAAUCACUAGUUGUUGGGGCAUGUUGGCUGCAAUACUGGGGACAGAGCUAAAUUGUUGUUUUUUGAGCCUGAUGCAAUGAAAGGCAAACAUUUAGAGCCAAGAGCAGUGCAGGGGCUGGUGGUACAGGGGGAGCCCAGGACUCCCGCUUGUGAUUGAUGGAGUUGGAGGAGAGGUAGGGGGUCAUUCAGUCAGUAAGCCUGGCUCUGUGGCCUUGGGGCUACAUAAAGAGAGGGUGCCUGGCUUCGCGGAGUUUUGUCUGUGUAUGUAAAUAACUGCAGAUGUGUGCAAACUGAAAUAUUUGUUGGGUUGCCAGGGACACAAAGGGAGGGAAACAGACCUGACUUUGGUAGUCCAGGAGCACUUCACAGAGGAAGGGACAUUCACACUGGGGCAUGUGGUGCUGAUAGCCUGGAGAAACAUGAGCAGAAAGGUGCUCCAAGCUCUGCAGAGAUAAAGGCAAAGACAUCUGUACAUCAUCUACAGAGCCAGAAAAUGCAAAAUGCAAUCAAGGAAUGGAGCCCCAGGCUGGAAUCUGACUUGACAGUUUAGGUAAAGAUCUGACAUCAAAGAAGGUAAGCCACUGCAUUGACUUACAAGGCCCCUCAAUGCAAGGUAGGUACGCGGGAGGGGGCUUUCAGCAGGACCCACUUGAAGCUGGUCAGAACCUGGCUAAAAUCUGCUGCAAAGACUGCUGGGAAGUAAAAUUUCCAUAAGCAGAGUGUAUUCACCCUUGAUUGUAUGGUGAGGACAUAAAGCCGAGCUUCUAUGAUCAUGCGUCUUUUCCCUGGAAAUGCAGACUUAGCAGACCCGGCUGGAGCUCAGGGAGCUGUGUAGUGAAACCCAAGCAGUUCUUUCUGAGAAAUCUGGCAAACUCCAGCCUCUGGGAAAACCUCUCUAGAUCAAGAAGAACCUGAAACUAAGUACUAUGGACAAAUGAGUUUUUAAAAUGUGAACAGUAUUAGCUCUUUUAAGAAUACUUCGUGGGUACUUGGCAUCUUAGGUACUUGUAAAUUUGACAGAAUUUGAUAGAAGGAACAGGUGACACUCAUAAUUUAAAAGUAGAAGUAUAAUUGAAUAAUGAAUUAGGUUUGUGAUUUUAAGUUGAAAGUUUCACAAAUUUAUGUGUGGUAUUGAAAGAGUUAGCAUUUAAGUUACUAUAUUUAUCAUUUUAAUGUGUUUAUAUACUUCAAAUUACUGGGAAGAUUUUAUAGGACAUUUGUAUUUAAAGAAGACAUUGGAUAUAUUAAAUUUAUAUGUGUAAUUUAAAUAUUUGAGUGUAUUUAAUUAAGCUUAUAAAUGGGGACAAAUAUUAAGCAAAGUUAUCCCUAAAGAUGUUUGCUAUAAUUUGAUAAAGUUAUAUAGAGAGGGGGAAAAUAUAAAAAACAAUUUAAGAGCUUAAA